rnacentral:rRNA from 1 species
GGGUUGUGAGGUUAAGCGACUAAGCGUACACGGUGGAUGCCCUGGCAGUCAGAGGCGAUGAAGGACGUGCUAAUCUGCGAUAAGCGUCGGUAAGGUGAUAUGAACCGUUAUAACCGGCGAUUUCCGAAUGGGGAAACCCAGUGUGUUUCGACACACUAUCAUUAACUGAAUCCAUAGGUUAAUGAGGCGAACCGGGGGAACUGAAACAUCUAAGUACCCCGAGGAAAAGAAAUCAACCGAGAUUCCCCCAGUAGCGGCGAGCGAACGGGGAGCAGCCCAGAGCCUGAAUCAGUGUGUGUGUUAGUGGAAGCGUCUGGAAAGGCGCGCGAUACAGGGUGACAGCCCCGUACACAAAAAUGCACAUGCUGUGAGCUCGAUGAGUAGGGCGGGACACGUGGUAUCCUGUCUGAAUAUGGGGGGACCAUCCUCCAAGGCUAAAUACUCCUGACUGACCGAUAGUGAACCAGUACCGUGAGGGAAAGGCGAAAAGAACCCCGGCGAGGGGAGUGAAAAAGAACCUGAAACCGUGUACGUACAAGCAGUGGGAGCCUCUUUUAUGGGGUGACUGCGUACCUUUUGUAUAAUGGGUCAGCGACUUAUAUUCUGUAGCAAGGUUAACCGAAUAGGGGAGCCGAAGGGAAACCGAGUCUUAACUGGGCGUUAAGUUGCAGGGUAUAGACCCGAAACCCGGUGAUCUAGCCAUGGGCAGGUUGAAGGUUGGGUAACACUAACUGGAGGACCGAACCGACUAAUGUUGAAAAAUUAGCGGAUGACUUGUGGCUGGGGGUGAAAGGCCAAUCAAACCGGGAGAUAGCUGGUUCUCCCCGAAAGCUAUUUAGGUAGCGCCUCGUGAAUUCAUCUCCGGGGGUAGAGCACUGUUUCGGCAAGGGGGUCAUCCCGACUUACCAACCCGAUGCAAACUGCGAAUACCGGAGAAUGUUAUCACGGGAGACACACGGCGGGUGCUAACGUCCGUCGUGAAGAGGGAAACAACCCAGACCGCCAGCUAAGGUCCCAAAGUCAUGGUUAAGUGGGAAACGAUGUGGGAAGGCCCAGACAGCCAGGAUGUUGGCUUAGAAGCAGCCAUCAUUUAAAGAAAGCGUAAUAGCUCACUGGUCGAGUCGGCCUGCGCGGAAGAUGUAACGGGGCUAAACCAUGCACCGAAGCUGCGGCAGCGACACUGUGUGUUGUUGGGUAGGGGAGCGUUCUGUAAGCCUGCGAAGGUGUACUGUGAGGUAUGCUGGAGGUAUCAGAAGUGCGAAUGCUGACAUAAGUAACGAUAAAGCGGGUGAAAAGCCCGCUCGCCGGAAGACCAAGGGUUCCUGUCCAACGUUAAUCGGGGCAGGGUGAGUCGACCCCUAAGGCGAGGCCGAAAGGCGUAGUCGAUGGGAAACAGGUUAAUAUUCCUGUACUUGGUGUUACUGCGAAGGGGGGACGGAGAAGGCUAUGUUGGCCGGGCGACGGUUGUCCCGGUUUAAGCGUGUAGGCUGGUUUUCCAGGCAAAUCCGGAAAAUCAAGGCUGAGGCGUGAUGACGAGGCACUACGGUGCUGAAGCAACAAAUGCCCUGCUUCCAGGAAAAGCCUCUAAGCAUCAGGUAACAUCAAAUCGUACCCCAAACCGACACAGGUGGUCAGGUAGAGAAUACCAAGGCGCUUGAGAGAACUCGGGUGAAGGAACUAGGCAAAAUGGUGCCGUAACUUCGGGAGAAGGCACGCUGAUAUGUAGGUGAAGUCCCUCGCGGAUGGAGCUGAAAUCAGUCGAAGAUACCAGCUGGCUGCAACUGUUUAUUAAAAACACAGCACUGUGCAAACACGAAAGUGGACGUAUACGGUGUGACGCCUGCCCGGUGCCGGAAGGUUAAUUGAUGGGGUCAGCGCAAGCGAAGCUCUUGAUCGAAGCCCCGGUAAACGGCGGCCGUAACUAUAACGGUCCUAAGGUAGCGAAAUUCCUUGUCGGGUAAGUUCCGACCUGCACGAAUGGCGUAAUGAUGGCCAGGCUGUCUCCACCCGAGACUCAGUGAAAUUGAACUCGCUGUGAAGAUGCAGUGUACCCGCGGCAAGACGGAAAGACCCCGUGAACCUUUACUAUAGCUUGACACUGAACAUUGAGCCUUGAUGUGUAGGAUAGGUGGGAGGCUUAGAAGUGUGGACGCCAGUCUGCAUGGAGCCGACCUUGAAAUACCACCCUUUAAUGUUUGAUGUUCUAACGUUGACCCGUGAUCCGGGUUGCGGACAGUGUCUGGUGGGUAGUUUGACUGGGGCGGUCUCCUCCUAAAGAGUAACGGAGGAGCACGAAGGUUGGCUAAUCCUGGUCGGACAUCAGGAGGUUAGUGCAAUGGCAUAAGCCAGCUUGACUGCGAGCGUGACGGCGCGAGCAGGUGCGAAAGCAGGUCAUAGUGAUCCGGUGGUUCUGAAUGGAAGGGCCAUCGCUCAACGGAUAAAAGGUACUCCGGGGAUAACAGGCUGAUACCGCCCAAGAGUUCAUAUCGACGGCGGUGUUUGGCACCUCGAUGUCGGCUCAUCACAUCCUGGGGCUGAAGUAGGUCCCAAGGGUAUGGCUGUUCGCCAUUUAAAGUGGUACGCGAGCUGGGUUUAGAACGUCGUGAGACAGUUCGGUCCCUAUCUGCCGUGGGCGCUGGAGAACUGAGGGGGGCUGCUCCUAGUACGAGAGGACCGGAGUGGACGCAUCACUGGUGUUCGGGUUGUCAUGCCAAUGGCACUGCCCGGUAGCUAAAUGCGGAAGAGAUAAGUGCUGAAAGCAUCUAAGCACGAAACUUGCCCCGAGAUGAGUUCUCCCUGACUCCUUGAGAGUCCUGAAGGAACGUUGAAGACGACGACGUUGAUAGGCCGGGUGUGUAAGCGCAGCGAUGCGUUGAGCUAACCGGUACUAAUGAACCGUGAGGCUUAACCUUACAACGCCGAAG